rnacentral:ncRNA from 1 species
ACAACGGUUUUUAUAAAAACCACCCUAGUAUGUCGUUAAAACGAUG